AUCCCAAUGACGAAGCAAUCCCAUUGAUAGGAAAAGCCGUCUGACACUCCAAGCAGCAGUGGUUCUGUAACAAUUUCCAUUCUUCUCAAUCAGCUGAACAGAGACGAGAUCUCAUUCGUUGGUUCGUCUCGAUUCUACUUUGGAUCGUUUCGCUCUCUACUGUGAGGUUCGUUCUUUUGUUUUCGAUGGUUGGGAUUUUUGAAUUGGUUCGGUUUCCGCUGUCUGUGUGUGUGACUUUAAACGGGUCUCUGAGGGUU